UCCGUAGGCGGAUCCGUAAGUCAGUGGUGAAAUCUCAUAGCUUAACUAUGAAACUGCCAUUGAUACUGCGGGUCUUGAGUAAGGUAGAAGUAGCUGGAAUAAGUAGUGUAGCGGUGAAAUGCAUAGAUAUUACUUAGAACACCAAUUGCGAAGGCAGGUUACUAUGUCUUAACUGACGCUGAUGGACGAAAGCGUGGGGAGCGAACAGGAUUAGAUACCCCCGUA
rnacentral:rRNA from 1 species